GGCUGGGCGAGACCUCCGUGGUCCACAAGUCUUCAGUAGACAACAGGAAGACAAAGACAAGGAGAAAAUAGCCUUAGGAUCUGAUCAAUUAUACGGCAGAUGUUAGGGUACAGUUUCCGGUUUGGAAAACGCACUCAAGGAUGGUGUUGGAAAAAGAAGGAGGGACAACCCAGGUGUAUAUAAACAUUCUUCCCUCCUUCUCUCCCUGGAGUGGAGGCCCCAAGGGCCUAAGGACCCCGCAGAGAAGGCUGGGGUGGACAGUCAGCAGACAGCAUGAUGAAAGGCCCUGGGGCGCCCAGGAGGCAGGACAGAAUUUCCUAACAGGAGAGAUACUCAGAGAAAUAUUUCCUGGGAACACCGUCGGCAGUAGCGGGAGGCUGGAAAGAAGAAAAAUGGCCACCCAGACGGGACCGCAGACAGAUGACGAUGUGUCCAUGUCAUAAAUACAGACUGUCUUUUCCAGACAGUAUGUAAGUCACAGUGUGAGGGAACAGGCACAGGGCAGAACUCUCGGUAGUCAAUACUUCUGUUUGUGUAAGUAGAAUGGUUUAAACACACACACACAACACACACAUACACACACACACACACACACACAGCUUAUAUGCCACCAGAGAAGAAAGGGUUUGCAUUAGGUACUUACACACAAUGAGCUGAGCUGGUGAAAAUGACACAGUAUCUGACUGGAUCAUUGAAAUGUUCCGGCUGUCACAGAACGCACAGAAAGAAAUGUCACCUGAAGGUAUUGCCCCAGCAAGCCCUGAGUACCUAAAAUGGACAGCAAUGGGCUCUUGUACUACACCAGACUGCACAUCCGUGGAGAAAUUUAGAAUGGUGUCAGCAAUGGGUGAGUUGUAGGGGGAGAGGAGUGAGUUUGAAAUAUUUUUCAUGCCCAAGUGUGUUGGCUGCUUUUGCUAAAAGGCACGCAAGAACACGCAUGUCCACACGUGUGGUUCCCACCUGCCCUAUGCCCACACGUGCGGUUCCCGCCCGUCCUAUGCCAACCAACCUACUACAGAUACCAUCUUCAAGCGUAACACGGUCCAACUGGGUUAUGCGCUUUGCUAACAUUGAAUCAUCUAAAAAAGGAUAAUUUGGC
rnacentral:lncRNA from 1 species